AUUUAUUUUUAUUAAUUUAACCUACUACAGAUGGCUAUUCAAAUUCAUCUUGUUCUUUAUUUUCUCCUUUUUACUGCUCGCUUCUUGUUAACUGUAUAUGAAAAAAAAAGCAGCAGAAGACUGAAACUCUAACCUUAGGACUGUGUAUGCUGCAGCAAAAAGUGGCAUGGUCUAGUCAAGGAAUGUACAAGUCCACCACUUGGAACCUGCAUCAGAAGGGAACAUCGAAAAACAUGCUUGAGCUGAUUGAUCUCUUGCAAGAGGCAAGAAAUGAGCUACCACAGAAGACAUACUGCUCAGUUUAUGUGAAGAGCUACAGCUAGGGAAGGUAGCUGUUACUGCUCUCUGUGCUCUCAAUGUUUCCUUGUGCCGGAAAGGAGAACACCUAUCUCAGUUACCUGGUUGAGUGUUUGCACACAUUUUCGCCAUGCUCAGCUGGUUCUCUGAGCUUUAUGAAUGUCAUUAUUUCAGGUCAAACAGAAACAGUGUUACUUCCAGCAUUUACCGUGUCCGGGAAACCUGCUGAUGGCUGGUUUGGAGUGAUUCUGUGGUCAUACAGGAAGCGCUUCAGUGAUGCAGUGGUGUCUGUUAAGAUAGACUUUCAGUCACUUUAG
rnacentral:lncRNA from 1 species